CAGCAACUGUCUUAUGUCACAAAGAACCAAAUGACCCGAGAAGGACAGUCAGAGAAGCUCUCGACACACACAGGCCUGCCAGGAACUAUAUCAACUAUGGCAGCAUCAACAGAUUUCAAGAAUUCAGAGUCCGCUUUCAGUUUCCUCCCAGAAGACCAAUCAAUCUUCUCCUUUGGCUCAGCAAACUUGUAAGCAAUGUGAACUGUGUAACAAUUCAGCACAGGUGUACAGCCAGCACUAAUUUGGCCUGGAUGACUAAAGAUAAUAAUCUGCAUUGCGAAGCCAGCUGCUUGCACUGUUCCAUUAAUCCAGAACGAAUGGGUUUCUCCCUGCAACCUGUCAAUCAAACAGAGGUGGCCAAUCACCACUCUGAAUUUUUUUUGCUCUCAGUGCUUCUUCAGACUAUGUUCCAGUUGAAAACUUCUUUAGCAGUGUUCUGAAAGAGGUAAAAGUUCUACCCUAUCUAAAGCACAUCUAGGGACUGAAUUUCAGAAAACAACUAAAAUAGGGAGUCGACUCCCUAACAAAUAACAACUAAGGAUGAUUUUCAACAAAUGCGAUUGGAUUUCUGGAUUAGCAGAAUCGGAACACACACACAUUAUCAGUACUUACAGUAUGGAACUCCAAUUCUGAUAUUUUCUCUGGCUGACCUGAUCCAAAAAAAUAAACCCGAAUAAUAUGAUCCGUGCUUCCUGUGGCCAGAAACAUGCCACCUGAGGAGUAGGAGCAAACAUUUACUAUGGAGAUAAUGGCAGCAAAGACCUCUCCUUCCAACAUGAAACUGGAUCUCUUACACUGUAGGUAAUUCCUAACAACAACAAAACUCUAUUUUGUGAAUCCCUCUUGGAAAUUUCGAAGUUUCAUGAAAAUAAAAAGUUUGAGAGGUAAAGUUCAGAUAAAUAAAAAUAUCGACAUUCUCCAUUAAUGAAGCCUAGGCAAUGUUAGGUACGCAUCUGACUUUGGUAUUCUGGUACUCCACAGGUCUCUGUGACAUGGCUUUCCACUUUGUCAUGGACUUGGGUAUUAAAACUCUCAAAAUCUAGAAAAAAAUGUCCUAUUAAUGUUAUGAAAACUUUAUGAAACAAUCAGUAACAGGGCUCUGAAUCACUUAAAUGCUAUGCAGAAACUAAAGCAGAACCUAAAGU